rnacentral:ncRNA from 2 species
AAUAAAGGCUGGGGGUGCUUUGAUUCGUCGAAGCUGAGAGGAAUUUUCUUUCCAACCCUUUGAACUUGAUGUGGUUAGCACCAACGGAGGGAAGCAAAUUUUUAUUUGA